GGCUCUGUAGUUUUAAUUAAAAAUAUCAGACUGCAAUUCUGAAGAUGUAUCCUGUGCUGGGGCCU
rnacentral:tRNA from 1 species